rnacentral:rRNA from 14 species
UUAAGCGACUAAGCGUACACGGUGGAUGCCCUGGCAGUCAGAGGCGAUGAAGGACGUGCUAAUCUGCGAUAAGCGUCGGUGAGGUGAUAUGAACCGUUAUAACCGGCGAUUUCCGAAUGGGGAAACCCAGUGUGUUUCGACACACUAUCAUUAACUGAAUCCAUAGGUUAAUGAGGCGAACCGGGGGAACUGAAACAUCUAAGUACCCCGAGGAAAAGAAAUCAACCGAGAUUCCCCCAGUAGCGGCGAGCGAACGGGGAGGAGCCCAGAGCCUGAAUCAGUGUGUGUGUUAGUGGAAGCGUCUGGAAAGGCGUGCGAUACAGGGUGACAGCCCCGUACACAAAAAUGCACAUAUUGUGAGCUCGAUGAGUAGGGCGGGACACGUGGUAUCCUGUCUGAAUAUGGGGGGACCAUCCUCCAAGGCUAAAUACUCCUGACUGACCGAUAGUGAACCAGUACCGUGAGGGAAAGGCGAAAAGAACCCCGGCGAGGGGAGUGAAAAAGAACCUGAAACCGUGUACGUACAAGCAGUGGGAGCCUCUUAAUGGGGUGACUGCGUACCUUUUGUAUAAUGGGUCAGCGACUUAUAUUCUGUAGCAAGGUUAACCGAAUAGGGGAGCCGAAGGGAAACCGAGUCUUAACUGGGCGUUAAGUUGCAGGGUAUAGACCCGAAACCCGGUGAUCUAGCCAUGGGCAGGUUGAAGGUUGGGUAACACUAACUGGAGGACCGAACCGACUAAUGUUGAAAAAUUAGCGGAUGACUUGUGGCUGGGGGUGAAAGGCCAAUCAAACCGGGAGAUAGCUGGUUCUCCCCGAAAGCUAUUUAGGUAGCGCCUCGUGAAUUCAUCUCCGGGGGUAGAGCACUGUUUCGGCAAGGGGGUCAUCCCGACUUACCAACCCGAUGCAAACUGCGAAUACCGGAGAAUGUUAUCACGGGAGACACACGGCGGGUGCUAACGUCCGUCGUGAAGAGGGAAACAACCCAGACCGCCAGCUAAGGUCCCAAAGUCAUGGUUAAGUGGGAAACGAUGUGGGAAGGCCCAGACAGCCAGGAUGUUGGCUUAGAAGCAGCCAUCAUUUAAAGAAAGCGUAAUAGCUCACUGGUCGAGUCGGCCUGCGCGGAAGAUGUAACGGGGCUAAACCAUGCACCGAAGCUGCGGCAGCGACACUAUGUGUUGUUGGGUAGGGGAGCGUUCUGUAAGCCUGUGAAGGUGGCCUGUGAGGGUUGCUGGAGGUAUCAGAAGUGCGAAUGCUGACAUAAGUAACGAUAAAGCGGGUGAAAAGCCCGCUCGCCGGAAGACCAAGGGUUCCUGUCCAACGUUAAUCGGGGCAGGGUGAGUCGACCCCUAAGGCGAGGCCGAAAGGCGUAGUCGAUGGGAAACAGGUUAAUAUUCCUGUACUUGGUGUUACUGCGAAGGGGGGACGGAGAAGGCUAUGUUGGCCGGGCGACGGUUGUCCCGGUUUAAGCGUGUAGGCUGGUUUUCCAGGCAAAUCCGGAAAACCAAGGCUGAGGCGUGAUGACGAGGCACUACGGUGCUGAAGCGACAAAUGCCCUGCUUCCAGGAAAAGCCUCUAAGCAUCAGGUAACAUCAAAUCGUACCCAAAACCGACACAGGUGGUCAGGUAGAGAAUACCAAGGCGCUUGAGAGAACUCGGGUGAAGGAACUAGGCAAAAUGGUGCCGUAACUUCGGGAGAAGGCACGCUGAUAUGUAGGUGAAGCGACUCGCUCGUGGAGCUGAAAUCAGUCGAAGAUACCAGCUGGCUGCAACUGUUUAUUAAAAACACAGCACUGUGCAAACACGAAAGUGGACGUAUACGGUGUGACGCCUGCCCGGUGCCGGAAGGUUAAUUGAUGGGGUUAGCGGUAACGCGAAGCUCUUGAUCGAAGCCCCGGUAAACGGCGGCCGUAACUAUAACGGUCCUAAGGUAGCGAAAUUCCUUGUCGGGUAAGUUCCGACCUGCACGAAUGGCGUAAUGAUGGCCAGGCUGUCUCCACCCGAGACUCAGUGAAAUUGAACUCGCUGUGAAGAUGCAGUGUACCCGCGGCAAGACGGAAAGACCCCGUGAACCUUUACUAUAGCUUGACACUGAACAUUGAGCCUUGAUGUGUAGGAUAGGUGGGAGGCUUUGAAGUGUGGACGCCAGUCUGCAUGGAGCCGACCUUGAAAUACCACCCUUUAAUGUUUGAUGUUCUAACGUUGGCCCGUAAUCCGGGUUGCGGACAGUGUCUGGUGGGUAGUUUGACUGGGGCGGUCUCCUCCUAAAGAGUAACGGAGGAGCACGAAGGUUGGCUAAUCCUGGUCGGACAUCAGGAGGUUAGUGCAAUGGCAUAAGCCAGCUUGACUGCGAGCGUGACGGCGCGAGCAGGUGCGAAAGCAGGUCAUAGUGAUCCGGUGGUUCUGAAUGGAAGGGCCAUCGCUCAACGGAUAAAAGGUACUCCGGGGAUAACAGGCUGAUACCGCCCAAGAGUUCAUAUCGACGGCGGUGUUUGGCACCUCGAUGUCGGCUCAUCACAUCCUGGGGCUGAAGUAGGUCCCAAGGGUAUGGCUGUUCGCCAUUUAAAGUGGUACGCGAGCUGGGUUUAGAACGUCGUGAGACAGUUCGGUCCCUAUCUGCCGUGGGCGCUGGAGAACUGAGGGGGGCUGCUCCUAGUACGAGAGGACCGGAGUGGACGCAUCACUGGUGUUCGGGUUGUCAUGCCAAUGGCACUGCCCGGUAGCUAAAUGCGGAAGAGAUAAGUGCUGAAAGCAUCUAAGCACGAAACUUGCCCCGAGAUGAGUUCUCCCUGACUCCUUGAGGGUCCUGAAGGAACGUUGAAGACGACGACGUUGAUAGGCCGGGUGUGUAAGCGCAGCGAUGCGUUGAGCUAACCGGUACUAAUGAACCGUGAGGCUUAACCUU